GUAGUUUGGGAAUGCUGCUCAAAAUGGGAGGUAAACCCCUUCUAAAGCUAAAUACCGGCCAGAGACCGAUAGCGCACAAGUAGAGUGAUCGAAAGAUGAAAAGCACUUUGAAAAGAGAGUUAAAAAGCACGUGAAAUUGUUGAAAGGGAAGCGCUUGCGACCAGACUCGCGCCCGUCGGAUCAGCCGUCGCUCGUCGGCGGCGCACUCCGGCGGGCUCGGGCCAGCAUCAGUUCGCCUCGGGGGGAGAAAGGCGGCGGGAAUGUGGCUCUACGGAGUGUUAUAGCCCGCCGCGUAAUACCCCCGGGCGGACUGAGGACCGCGCGUAUGCAAGGAUGC
rnacentral:rRNA from 1 species